rnacentral:pre_miRNA from 1 species
GUGAGAUGAAAUCAGCAUUUGAAUAUGCGAUUUUACGUUGAUUCCAUCUCAUGG